ensembl:lncRNA
GUUUCUUUCUGGAGAUCCCUCUUUGAUGAAGCUUUUCCCUGUAAACCUCAACUUUUCUGAUACAGGGACUGCGAGAAGCCAAGGGCUGCUCAGUGCAUUGCUGCGAACUUCCGUCCCCAUCUGGAGGGCAGACCGCCUGCCUUUGUGCGCAUUCAUCGCCCCGAAAUUAAGGGCUUUUUCCAGCUGCCCUUCCAAACAGAGUAAAGUUCAGUACCGGACUUCCUUUGCAUCUUCUGAUAUUUUUGAUCCCUGGGUUCAAGUUAAGACAGAUAAGGGAGAUCUCUAUAGCUAUCAGCGUAUUGGAGUUGAAUUUGGAAGGAGAAAAAGAAAGAACAGAAUUGCAACUGCUGAGGAAGGGACGGCAAGAUGCCAUGGUAGCCUGGGAAGGAUGAAGUUCCCUCCCUGUCCACUGCAUUUCCUCCACACACAAAGGAGCUCGCUCAGACCCUGCGAUGUUAGAUCCAUUGCUGUGUUUUGUGCAUGUGCCGGGCUGGCUCGCUCUCACUUUUUAGAGCGCCUAUGCCGAUGCGGUGCCUCUAAGCAUUAAUGAAACUAACCGGUAGUAUUAAUCUC